GACGAACGCUGGCGGCGUGCUUAACACAUGCAAGUCGAACGGUAAGGCCCUUCGGGGUACACGAGUGGCGAACGGGUGAGUAACACGUGGGUGAUCUGCCCUGCACUUCGGGAUAAGCCUGGGCAACUGGGUCUAAUACCGGAUAGGACCCUGGGAUGCAUGUCCUGGGGUGGAAAGCUUCUGCGGUGUGGGAUGGGCCCGCGGCCUAUCAGCUUGGUGGGGGGGUGAUGGCCUACCAAGGCGACGACGGGUAGCCGGCCUGAGAGGGUGAACGGCCACAGUGUGACUGGGAUACGGCCCAGGCUCCUACGGGAGGAAGCAGUGGGGAAUAUUGCAGCAUGGGCGCAAGCCUGAUGCAGCGACGCCGCGUGAGGGAUGACGGCCUUCGGGUUGUAAACCUCUUUCAGCACCGACGAAGCGCAAGGGACGGUAGGUGCAGAAGAAGGACCGGCUAACUACGUGCCAGCAGCCGCCGUAA
rnacentral:rRNA from 1 species